rnacentral:sRNA from 1 species
GCCAGGCGUGGUAGCACACGCCUUUAAUCCCAGUAUUCAGGAGGCAGAAGCAGGCGGAUCUCUGUGAGUUCAAGGCCAGCCUGGUCUACAUAGUGCGUUCCAGGACAGCUGGGGCUACAGGGAGACUCUGUCUCAAAAAGACCAAAAAAAAAAAAAGAGAAUACAAGUUAAAGAAGAUAUCUGUUUGCAACUGGCCUGGAACUCACUAUGUAGACCAGGUUGGCCUUGAACUCAAAGAUCUGCCUGUCUCU